rnacentral:lncRNA from 1 species
GUGACUGUUCAUCAUUUUUCUGUCAACCUGUCAGACUUGUUGUGAGCUUCGAAACUCCAUUUUCUCUUGCUCAGAUCAACAUACUUUCUUCAUCGAAGUUGUUCCUUAACUUGUGAACUACAACAUAUCCAAAAUUGAGAUCCCUCGGAGCUGUAUAACUCAAGAAAUGCAGGUAUGAUGAAUGACUGGUUAUGAUUUUUCUGUCAACCCGUCAGAUUUGUUGUGAGCUUUGAAACUCUAUUUUCUCUUGCUCAGAUCAGCAUGCUUUCUUCAUUGAAGUUGUUCCUCAGCUUGUGAACUACAACAUAUCCAAAUUUGAGAUCCCUCGGAGCUGUAUAACUCAAGAAAUUCAGGUAUGAUGAAUGACUGGUUAUGAUUUUUCUGUCAACCCGUCAGAUUUGUUGUGAGCUUUGAAACUCUAUUUUUCUCUUGCUCAGAUCAGCAUGCUUUCUUCAUUGAAGUUGUUCCUCAGCUUGUGAACUACAAACAUAUCCAAAUUUGAGAUCCCUCGGAGCUGUAUAA